rnacentral:rRNA from 1 species
UACGUAGGGUGCGAGCGUUGUCCGGAAUUAUUGGGCGUAAAGAGCUCGUAGGCGGUGUGUCGCGUCGGUCGUGAAAACUUGGGGCUUAACCCUGAGCUUGCGGUCGAUACGGGCAUCACUGGAGUUCGGCAGGGGAGACUGGAAUUCCUGGUGUAGCGGUGAAAUGCGCAGAUAUCAGGAGGAACACCGGUGGCGAAGGCGGGUCUCUGGGCCGAUACUGACGCUGAGGAGCGAAAGCAUGGGUAGCGAACAGG